rnacentral:rRNA from 1 species
UGGGGAAUAUUGCGCAAUGGACGAAAGUCUGACGCAGCAACGCCGCGUGAGUGACGAAGGCCUUCGGGUCGUAAAGCUCUGUCGCCGGGGACGAACACCCUAGGUAGCCCCUAGGUCUGACGGUACCCGGAAAGGAAGCACCGGCUAACUCCGUGCCAGCAGCCGCGGUAAUACGGAGGGUGCAAACGUUGUUCGGAAUUAUUGGGCGUAAAGGGCGCGCAGGCGGUGGCGUAUGUCUGGUGUGAAAGCCCUACUCUUAAAGUAGGAAUGGCGCUGGAAACUACGUCACUAGAGUCUCGGAGAGGAUGGCGGAAUUCUCGGUGUAGAGGUGAAAUUCGUAGAUAUCGGGAGGAACACCCGUGGCGAAGGCGGCCAUCUGGACGAUGACUGACGCUGAGGCGCGAAAGCGUGGGGAGCAAACAGGAUUAGAUACCCCCGUAGUCC